UACGUAGGGGGCAAGCGUUGUCCGGAUUUAUUGGGCGUAAAGAGCGUGUAGGCGGCCAUUCAGGUCAGCUGUGAAAACUCGAGGCUCAACCUCGAGACGUCGGUUGAAACCGUUUGGCUAGAGUCCGGAAGAGGAGAGUGGAAUUCCCGGUGUAGCGGUGAAAUGCGCAGAUAUCGGGAAGAACACCCGUGGCGAAGGCGGCUCUCUGGGACGGUAUUGACGCUGAGACGCGAAAGCGUGGGGAGCGAACAGG
rnacentral:rRNA from 1 species